rnacentral:rRNA from 1 species
CCCUUAGAUGUUCUGGGCUGCACGCGCGCUACACUGGUGCAUCCAACAAGUUUUUUCCUUGUUCGAGAGGACUAGGUAAUCUUAUGAGAAUGCAUCGCGAUGGGGAUAGAUUAUUGCAAUUAUUAACCUUCAACGAGGAAUUCCUAGUAAGCGCGAGUCAUCAGCUCGUGCUGAUUACGUCCCUGCCCUUUGUACACACCGCCCGUCGCUGCAACUGAUUGGGUGACCUGGUGAACAUCUUGGACCGGCCCACUCAAUUUCGAGAGGACUGGAAAAGGCCGUAAAUCAGGUACAUCUAGAAAUUGCAAAAGUCGUAACA